rnacentral:snRNA from 1 species
AUUCUUACUUUGGAGGAGUGAUACUAUGAUCACAAUGGUGGUAAGGCUCAUCCAUGGCACUGCUAGUGUACUGAUCCAUGCAGUUUUCCCACAUGUGGGAAACUUGAUUGCAUAAUUCAUGGUAGUGGUGAACUGUGUUCAUACUUUCCCCUG